CAUCGUCAGAUGUGUAUGAGAUACAGCAAGCUAGUUGAUCGAGUGGCGGACGGGUGAGUAAUGUCUGGGCAUGUGCCUGUUCGGGGGGGAUGACGACUGGAAACGGUAGUUUAUACCGCAUCCCACAUGAUGUGCCCAGAUGGGAUUAGCUUGUUGGUGGGGUAACGGCUCACCAAGGCGACGAUCCCUAGCUGGUCUGAGAGGAUGACCAGCCACACUGGAACUGAGACACGGUCCAGACUCCUACGGUAGGCAGCAGUGGGGAAUAUUGCACAAUGGGCGCAAGCCUGAUGCAGCCAUGCCGCGUGUAUGAAGAAGGCCUUCGGGUUGUAAAGUACUUUCAGCGGGGAGGCGUUACCCGCAGAAGAAGCACCGGCUAACUCCGUGCCAGCAGCCGCGGUAAUAC
rnacentral:rRNA from 1 species